CCCAUAAACACUUCAUACCAAAUAGGUUUAUUUCAAACGUUUAAUUUCCUUUGUUCCUUAAAAUGAUCAUGAUUAUAAAUCUAUAUUCAGUGCAAGUGGAUACCUCAAGGCCCAGACUUUUCCAGGAUCACUACAAUCCACGGAGACCCAAGUCUGAUCGAUGAGGAGUCUGAGAGAAUUAGCAGAAUCAUUAAAGAAGGAGGUAGAUUUGCUGCUGCCAGGAAAGCUCCAGGUAACAGUAUAAUUACUUGCUGAUUCACAGUCUUUAUCUUCUUAAUAAACUUUGUUCCCUCUGCUUCGUCUUUUUCAGCUGGAAUGAAGAGGCGGGCAAGGCUGGUCAGGCGUCACCAUAAGCGAAGGGAGUGAAUCUUGCAGAAAGAUAAACGCGUAGGGCUCACCACAAGGAUUGUAUGCAUCUCCAGCGCUCCUGGUCGAGCAGUGGUGGAUUGAAAAACUGCAGACUGAGAUUAAAUUAAUUUAGCCAUUUCUUAAUCCAGAGAAUCGUUACGUUUGUUUGUUAUUCCAUUUGAAGCGCGGUUGGUGUAAUAGCCAUACGAUUAAACUCUAUAUUUCCAUAAUGUUGGUGUGUAAGGAAUAGUGAUUUUUAAUGUGGGGCAAAAUAGGGUGAAAGGUGAGAUAUAUUCUACGAGGAUUUUUUUUUUCAAUAUCACUUUGCAAACAGAUUAGUUGGAAAGAGUUUUGUAUUCUUUUUGUUUGUUGUUUGUUGUUUUUUUGUCAUAUGGUGCUGUUUUAAAUAGUGUUUUGCAACCGGUAGAUCUUCUACUGUACCUCUGUAAAUUAUGGCAUGAUCAUUUUAAAAUGCCACGAUGGGGUUUUUUUCAGUUCUCAUGACUGUGUUAGAUCGACAGAUGUUUCAUACUUUUGAUUGGGAACUUGACUCGUGUAUGUCUAUACACAAUCAGACUUUAGAAUCUUAUGUUUGUAUCUCACAAACAAGUGACUAAUAAAUGUGUAACUACAAUGCA
ensembl:lncRNA